rnacentral:rRNA from 1 species
GACGGAGGAGGCAAGCGUUAUCCGGAAUUAUUGGGCGUAAAGCGUCCGUAGGUGGUUAUUCAAGUCUUUUGUUAAAUAGUGGAGCUCAACUCCAUAGAGGCGGAAGAAACUGAGUAACUUGAGUGCGGUAGGGGUAGAGGGAAUUCCAGGUGUAGCGGUGAAAUGCGUAGAUAUCUGGAAGAACACCGGUGGCGAAAGCGCUCUGCUGGACCUUAACUGACACUGAGGGACGAAAGCUAGGGGAGCGAAUGGG